rnacentral:rRNA from 1 species
GAUGAACGCUGGCGGCGUGCUUAACACAUGCAAGUCGAACGAUGAAGCCCAGCUUGCUGGGUGGAUUAGUGGCGAACGGGUGAGUAACACGUGAGUAACCUGCCCUUAACUCUGGGAUAAGCCUGGGAAACUGGGUCUAAUACCGGAUAGGAGCGUCCACCGCAUGGUGGGUGUUGGAAAGAUUUAUCGGUUUUGGAUGGACUCGCGGCCUAUCAGCUUGUUGGUGAGGUAAUGGCUCACCAAGGCGACGACGGGUAGCCGGCCUGAGAGGGUGACCGGCCCCACGGGGACGGAGACACGCCCCAGCCCCCGCCGGGGGGCAGCAGGGGGAAAUUUUGCACACGGGGCUCAAGCCGGAUGCGGCGACGCCGCGUGGGGGAGGACGGCCUUCGGUUUGAAACCCUCUUUCAGGGGGAAAGAAGCGAAAGGGCGGGUCCCUAAAGAAGAAGCCCCGGCAAACUCGGUC